GAUGAACGCUGGCGGCGUGCCUAAUACAUGCAAGUCGAGCGAACGGACGAGAAUCUUGCUUCUCUGAUGUUAGCGGCGGACGGGUGAGUAACACGUGGAUAACCUACCUAUAAGACUGGGAUAACUUCGGGAAACCGGAGCUAAUACCGGAUAAUAUUUUGAACCGCAUGGUUCAAAAGUGAAAGACGGUCUUUCUGUCACUUAUAGAUGGAUCCGCGAUGCAUUAGCUAGUUGGUAAGGUAACGGCUUACCAAGGCAACGAUGCAUAGCCGACAUGAGAGGGGGAUCGGCCACACUGGAACUGAGAAACGGAACAGACAACUACGGGAGGAAGCAGUAGGGAAUAUUCCGCAAUGGGCGAAAGCAUGACGGAGCAACGCCGCGUGAGAGAUGAAGGUCUACGGAUCGUAAAACUCUGUUAUUAGGGAAGAACAUAUGUGUAAGUAACUGUGCACAGAUUGACGGUACCUAAUCAGAAAGCCACGGCUAACUACGUG
rnacentral:rRNA from 1 species